CCCGCCCGGCAGCGGCCUGGGCCGCUCGGCUUCGCCGCUGGGCAGCCCCGCCCGCCCCGCGGAGUUCCGGGCGCUCCUCGCCCUCCCGCGGCCCACGGGCCCGGCCCGCUGGGGCGCUGUGCCGGCGGCCGGGUCCUCGCUGGGGGCCUGCCCUGGCAGCCGGGAGGAGGUGGGAGGCCGGGCCGCGCCAGGGCCCCCGUUCGGGGCGGCGGGGCGGUCGCUGGGCGCUGGAGGCCGGGCUGAGGAGGCCCGGCCGGCUGGGCGGUAAGCUGGCCGUGCGGGCGGGUCUGCCGCCCGGCCCGGCUGGGGAUCUCCGAGCGGAGGGGCUGGAAUGCAGGCACAGGCCUGUGUGCGUGGCCGGGGUCUAGUGUGCACCUGAAAUGCCGGCGUCCUGGGGGUGAGCUACCACUAACGGCUGUGAAGAGUCUCGCAGUAACGAGAGACUGGGAUGUAAUGAUUCCUGUAUUCUGUGAAGUGUUUCUGUGAAGAAAAAUAGCAGGGAAUUAAAAAAGAGCCUGAAGAGAACAAAAGAAGAUGGAUGCUGUUUGUUAUGAACAAAAACUGAAGUCUUGCGAAGAGUGAAAGAGCAUAAAAAUUUGUAUCGGAUUAUUUUAUUAUGUGAACUUAUGAUGUAAUGACAGUGACACCAGGAGAUUAAAUUCUGUUUAUAUGGUAGUUUUGCAGUGUUUGAUUCUGGUUCUGUUGUUCUUUCAAUAUAGACCUUCAAUAAUUAAAGA